UACGUAGGGUGCAAGCGUUGUCCGGAAUUAUUGGGCGUAAAGAGCUCGUAGGCGGUUUGUCGCGUCGAAUGUGAAAACCCGGGGCUCAACCCCGGGCCUGCAUUCGAUACGGGCAGACUAGAGUUCGGCGGGGAGACUGGAAUUCCUGGUGUAGCGGUGAAAUGCGCAGAUAUCAGGAGGAACACCGGUGGCGAAGGCGGGUCUCUGG
rnacentral:rRNA from 1 species